rnacentral:ncRNA from 1 species
UAGCGGAUAGUACCGUGAGGGAAUGGUGAAAAGUACCGCGGGAGCGGAGUGAAAUAGUACCUGAAACCGUGUGCCUACAAGCCGUGGGAGCGUCGCGCAAGGAACUUGUUCCUUGCGUCGUGACUGCGUGCCUUUUGAAGAAUGAGCCUGCGAGUUUGCGGUGUGUUGCGAGGUUAACCCGAGUGGGGAAGCCGUAGCGAAAGCGAGUCCGA